rnacentral:rRNA from 1 species
AUGGCUCAGGAUGAACGCUAGCGACAGGCUAACACAUGCAAGGUCGAGGGGCAGCACGGGAGUAGCAAUACAACUGGUGGCGACCGGCGCACGGGUGAGUAACGCGUAUGCAACCUACCUAUCAGAGGGGAAUAACCCGGCGAAAGUCGGACUAAUACCGCAUAAAACAGGGGCACCGCAUGGUGAUAUUUGUUAAAGAGAUUCGCUGAUAGAUGGGCAUGCGUUCCAUUAGGUAGUUGGUGAGGUAACGGCUCACCAAGCCGACGAUGGAUAGGGGAACUGAGAGGUUGGUCCCCCACACUGGUACUGAGACACGGACCAGACUCCUACGGGAGGCAGCAGUGAGGAAUAUUGGUCAAUGGGCGGGAGCCUGAACCAGCCAAGUCGCGUGAAGGAAGAAGGAUCUAUGGUUCGUAAACUUCUUUUGCAGGGGAAUAAAGUGCAGGACGUGUCCUGUUUUGUAUGUACCCUGAGAAUAAGGAUCGGCUAACUCCGUGCCAGCCGCCGC